rnacentral:misc_RNA from 1 species
GAUGAAGAACGUAGCGAAAUGCGAUACGUAAUGUGAAUUGCAGAAUUCAGUGAAUCAUCGAAUCUUUGAACGCAUAUUGCGCUCUCUGGUAUUCCGGAGAGCAUGCUUGUUUGAGUAUCAGUAAACACCUCAACUUCCAUAUCUUUUUUGAAAUGGGAGUUGGACUUGAGUGAUCCCAACGCUUUUCCUCACCGAAAAGUGGCGGGUUACUUGAAAUGCAGGUGCAGCUGGACUUUUCUCUGAGCUAUAAGCAUAUCUAUUUAGUCUGCCUAAAAAACAGAUUAUUACCUUUGCUGCAGCUAACAUAAAGGAGAUUAGUUCUUGUGCUGACUGAUGCAGGAUUCACAAAGACAGCUUCGGCUGGCCUUUGUAAACUCGAUCUCAAAUCAAGUAAGACUACCCGCUGAACUUAAGCAUAUCAAUAAGCGGAGGA